AGUGAACGCUGGCGGUAGGCCUAACACAUGCAAGUCGAACGGCAGCACAGUAAGAGCUUGCUCUUACGGGUGGCGAGUGGCGGACGGGUGAGGAAUACAUCGGAAUCUACUUUUUCGUGGGGGAUAACGUAGGGAAACUUACGCUAAUACCGCAUACGACCUACGGGUGAAAGCAGGGGAUCUUCGGACCUUGCGCGAUUGAAUGAGCCGAUGUCGGAUUAGCUAGUUGGCGGGGUAAAGGCCCACCAAGGCGACGAUCCGUAGCUGGUCUGAGAGGAUGAUCAGCCACACUGGAACUGAGACACGGUCCAGACUCCUACGGGAGGCAGCAGUGGGGAAUAUUGGACAAAGGGCGCAAGCCUGAUCCAGCCAUACCGCGUGGGUGAAGAAGGCCUUCGGGUUGUAAAGCCCUUUUGUUGGGAAAGAAAAGCAGCAGGUUAAUACCCCGCUAUUCUGACGGUACCCAAAGAAUAAGCACCGGCUAACUUCGUG
rnacentral:rRNA from 1 species